GGCGAGUGAAGAGGGAAAAGCUCAAAUUUGAAAUCUGGCGAUCUUAUGGUCGUCCGAGUUGUAAUCUAGAGAAGUGUUUUCCGCCCUGGACCGUGUACAAGUCCUUUGGAAUAAGGCAUCAUAGAGGGUGAGAAUCCCGUCUACGACACGGACUACCAGUGCUUUGUGAUACACUCUCAACGAGUCGAGUUGUUUGGGAAUGCAGCUCAAAAUGGGUGGUAAAUUCCAUCUAAAGCUAAAUAUGGGCGAAAGACCGAUAGCGAACAAGUACCGUGAGGGAAAGAUGAAAAGCACUUUGAAAAGAGAGUUAAACAGUACGUGAAAUUGUUGAAAGGGAAACGUUUGAAGUCAGUCGCGUCUUCAGAAAUUCAGCUUGGCUUCUGCCUGGUGUACUUUUCUGUUAGACGGGCCAGCAUCAGUUUUGGCUACCAGAGAAAGGUGAGAGGAAGGUGGCACCUCCGGGUGUGUUAUAGCCUCUUAUCAUAUGUGGUGGCUGGGACUGAGGACUGCAGCAUGCCUUUAAUGGCCGGGGUUCGCCCACGUAACGUGCUUAGGAUGCUGGCGUAAUGGCUUCAAA
rnacentral:rRNA from 1 species